UGACAGUACUCCUACGGGGAGGCAGCAGUGAGGAAUAUUGGACAAUGGAGGCAACUCUGAUCCAGCCAUGCCGCGUGUAGGAAGACUGCCCUAUGGGUUGUAAACUACUUUUAUAGAGGAAGAAAUCGCAAUACGUGUAUUGCUCUGACGGUACUCUACGAAUAAGGAUCGGCUAACUCCGUGCCAGCAGCCGCGGUAAUACGGAGGAUCCAAGCGUUAUCCGGAAUCAUUGGGUUUAAAGGGUCCGUAGGCGGGCGUAUAAGUCAGUGGUGAAAGUUUGCGGCUCAACCGUAAAAUUGCCAUUGAUACUGUAUGUCUUGAAUAAUUGUGAAGUGGUUAGAAUAUGUAGUGUAGCGGUGAAAUGCAUAGAUAUUACAUAGAAUACCGAUUGCGAAGGCAGAUCACUAACAAUUUAUUGACGCUAAGGGACGAAAGCGUGGGUAGCGAACAGGAUUAGAUACCCUGGUAG
rnacentral:rRNA from 1 species